GUCCACGCCGUAAACGUUGGGAACUAGGUGUGGGUCUCAUUCCACGAGAUCCGUGCCGCAGCUAACGCAUUAAGUUCCCCGCCUGGGGAGUACGGCCGCAAGGCUAAAACUCAAAGGAAUUGACGGGGGCCCGCACAAGCGGCGGAGCAUGUGGAUUAAUUCGAUGCAACGCGAAGAACCUUACCAAGGCUUGACAUACACUGGAAACAUUCAGAGAUGGGUGCCCCGCAAGGUCGGUGUACAGGUGGUGCAUGGUUGUCGU
rnacentral:rRNA from 1 species